UUAGCCACUAGAUAGAAAAGAAGAAGAAGAAGUCGUAAGGGAAAAAGAAGGUAAGAUAUUCGACCUAGGGAACAAUAACUGAUUAGGAGAGAAGAGAAGAAGAGAAUCUAAAACCAAAAAUGAUAAGAAGAAAAGGUGAAAAAAUCGACUAAAGCUCAAGAAAGGAAGAAUAGGCAGGAAUCAACCUAACAAAAAAAUGCAAUUGCGAGAGAGUCAGGAAAAAAGUGUAGCAAAAGAAGUUGGCUAACCAAUUGACC
rnacentral:lncRNA from 1 species